rnacentral:rRNA from 1 species
GGUACGCUGGUGCCGGCAGGCGCGGUAAGAGGAAGGGGGGUAGCGUGGGUCGGAAUCACUGGGAGUAAAGCGCACGGAGGCGGGUCCUUAAGUCGGUGGUGAAAUCCUGGAGCUCAACUCCAGAACCGCCUUCGAUACUGAGGGUCUCGAGUCCGGGAGAGGUGAGGGGAACUGCGAGUGUAGAGGUGAAAUUCGUAGAUAUUCGCAAGAACACCAGUGGCGAAGGCGGCUCACUGGCCCGGUACUGACGCUGAGGUGCGAAAGCGUGGGGAGCAAACAGGAUUAGAUACCCGUGUAGUC